rnacentral:rRNA from 2 species
ACGGAAGGCAGCAGUGGGGGAUAUUGCACAAUGGGCGAAAGCCUGAUGCAGCGACGCCGCGUGAGUGAAGAAGUAUCUCGGUAUGUAAAGCUCUAUCAGCAGGGAAGAAAAUGACGGUACCUGACUAAGAAGCCCCGGCUAACUACGUGCCAGCAGCCGCGGUAAUACGUAGGGGGCAAGCGUUAUCCGGAUUUACUGGGUGUAAAGGGAGCGUAGACGGUUUGGCAAGUCUGAAGUGAAAUGCGGGGGCUCAACUCCUGAACUGCUUUGGAAACUGUCGAACUAGAGUGCAGGAGAGGUAAGUGGAAUUCCUAGUGUAGCGGUGAAAUGCGUAGAUAUUAGGAGGAACACCAGUGGCGAAGGCGGCUUACUGGACUGUAACUGACGUUGAGGCUCGAAAGCGUGGGGAGCAAACAGGAUUAGAUACCCUGGUA